rnacentral:lncRNA from 1 species
AAAUUAAUUAAUAAUAAUAAUAUGUAACAUGCCUGACAAUAAUCAAUGAAUAUCCAGUAUAAAAUGAUAUGCAAUACAAAAGAAUGGCUAUACACGUUUCAAUGGCUAAACAGCAUUUUCUGUCAAGACUUACACGAUUUAUGAGGUAUCCUUACAGACAGAAAGCGAAGCUUUUCACAGCGAAGGGCCAUAAAACCCUGGCUAACAGUUAGAUCAACUGAAUAACCCUUUCAAUGCUGGCUGGAUCUCCUAGGUAAUUAAGAUCUAUUCUUAUGUACUUUUAAAUAAAAUAACAUUUAAACCAGUUCAUUAGUCAUUUCCUGGAACCAUCCAAUAAGAGAAUCUACCAGAUUUUAUAAGCAGAUUUUUAAUUCGCCUAAAAAGAUAUCUUAUCUUAUAUUAGAGCAAAUCAAUAUACCUGGAUAAAAACAGCGGUAUGCUAACAUGUGAUACUAUCACAUUAAUAUAUAAUUAUUCUUAAUUCCAC